AUCCAGAUGACGAGUCUCAAAUAGGACGAAAUGCGCAUCCUGGCUGGAU
rfam:Trichobilharzia regenti genome assembly, scaffold: TRE_scaffold0009394